GUUUGUUGUGGGUGAGUGAGCACUUUACCGACACUCUCUAACACUCUACAUAAUGAUCACCACAGACUGGUGUUGUACUGGAUAAGUGGAAAAUUGGCAAAUGUGAUAUCCUUUUACAAAGUGGGAAAUAGGUCGUUAGCUUCGUUUUAUAGCCCAGUCAGCCGAACCUCUCUUGUGGGAACGUUGGUGGAAUCAGUACUUGUGGAUGCAAUUCACAACCACCUUGAAUGGAGACUGAUGAAGAAAGCAGCACAUGGUGUACGAGGGGAACUUAUCUCCUAGGGUACAGUCCUGCCUGCAG